rnacentral:rRNA from 1 species
UACGGGGGGGGCAAGCGUUGUUCGGAAUUACUGGGCGUAAAGGGCUCGUAGGCGGCCAACUAAGUCGGAUGUGAAAUCCCCAGGCUUAACCUGGGAACUGCAUCCGAUACUGGAUGGCUUGAAUCCGGGAGAGGGAUGCAGAAUUCCAGGUGUAGCGGUGAAGUGCGUAGAUAUCUGGAGGAACACCGGUGGCGAAGGCGGCAUCCUGGACCAACACUGACGCUGAGUGAGCGAAAGCCAGGGGAGCAAACGGG